AGAGUUUGAUCAUGGCUCAGAACGAACGCUGGCGGCAGGCUUAACACAUGCAAGUCGAACGCCCCGCAAGGGGAGUGGCAGACGGGUGAGUAACGCGUGGGAACAUACCCUUUCCUGCGGAAUAGCUCCGGGAAACUGGAAUUAAUACCGCAUACGCCCUACGGGGGAAAGAUUUAUCGGGGAAGGAUUGGCCCGCGUUGGAUUAGCUAGUUGGUGGGGUAAAGGCCUACCAAGGCGACGAUCCAUAGCUGGUCUGAGAGGAUGAUCAGCCACAUUGGGACUGAGACACGGCCCAAACUCCUACGGGAGGCAGCAGUGGGGAAUAUUGGACAAUGGGCGCAAGCCUGAUCCAGCCAUGCCGCGUGAGUGAUGAAGGCCCUAGGGUUGUAAAGCUCUUUCACCGGUGAAGAUAAUGACGGUAACCGGAGAAGAAGCCCCGGCUAACUUCGUGCCAGCCGCCGCGGUAAUAC
rnacentral:rRNA from 1 species